rnacentral:rRNA from 1 species
AACGCGAAGAACCUUACCUAGGCUUGACAUGUAGAGGAAAAGUGUAGAAAUACACUCUCCGCAAGGUCUCUAUACAGGUGGUGCAUGGUUGUCGUCAGCUCGUGCCGUGAGGUGUCAGGUUAAGUCCUAUAACGAGCGCAACCCCUACCGUUAGUUGCCAGCGUGUAAUGACGGGGACUCUAACGGAACUGCCGGUGCAAACCGUGAGGAAGGUGGGGACGACGUCAAGUCAUCAUGCCCCUUAUGUCUAGGGCUGCACGCAUGCUACAAUGGCCGGUACAGAGGGCUGCGAAACCGUAAGGUGGAGCGAAUCCCAAAAAGCCGGUCUCAGUUCGGAUUGAGGUCUGCAACUCGACCUCAUGAAGUUGGAGUCGCUAGUAAUCGUGGAUCAGCAACGCCACGGUGAAUACGUUCCCGGGCCUUGUACACACCG